GACGAACGCUGGCGGCGUGCUUAACACAUGCAAGUCGAACGGAAAGGCCUUUUCGGAGGUACUCGAGUGGCGAACGGGUGAGUAACACGUGGGUGAUCUGCCCUGCACUCUGGGAUAAGCCUGGGAAACUGGGUCUAAUACCGGAUAGGACCGCACUUUAGUGUGUGUGGUGGAAAGUUUUUUCGGUGUAGGAUGAGCCCGCGGCCUAUCAGCUUGUUGGUGGGGUAAUGGCCUACCAAGGCGGCGACGGGUAGCCGGACUGAGAGGUUGGUCGGCCACAUUGGGACUGAGAUACGGCCCAGACUCCGACGGGAGGCAGCAGUGGGGAAUAUUGCACAAUGGGCGCAAGCCUGAUGCAGCGACGCCGCGGGGGGGAGGACGGCCUUCGGGUUGUAAACUCCUUUCGCCAGGGACGAAGCGUUUUGUGACGGUACCUGGAGAAGAAGCACCGGCUAACUACGUG
rnacentral:rRNA from 1 species